UACGAAGGGGGGCUAGCGUUGUUCGGAAUUACUGGGCGUAAAGCGCGCGCAGGCGGCUCUUCAAGUCAGGGGUGAAAGCCCAGAGCUCAACUCUGGAACUGCCUUUGAGACUGAAGAGCUUGAGUACGGGAGAGGUGAGUGGAAUUCCCAGUGUAGAGGUGAAAUUCGUAGAUAUUGGGAAGAACACCGGUGGCGAAGGCGGCGACCUGGUCCGAUACUG
rnacentral:rRNA from 1 species